CCCACCACCGCCUAGUAUAUAGGCCAGGCCAAGUCAGUGGAGGGAAAAACAGACUAUAUAUUAUUCUGGACUUCCAGGCUUGAAUGUAAGUAAAAUAGAUAACACCAGACCUUAUACAGUUUACCUGUAUCCCAAGCUGCCAGCAACAGAAGAAACAGCUAUGUGACACUUUCAGUUUCCUCAAACACACACCCCUUACUCUUUUCUAACCAGAGAACAGCAGGUGCUGGAAAAAUGAACUCACACUGUGUAUGCUACACCUGACCUCAGGUCCUCUUAUUUCUACCAUCAUGCCGAUCUGACUUAUCUUGAGUGGCUGUAACUCAAGGAGUGAUUCGGAAAAAUAAAAACAAGAUUUCAGACUAUG